AGGAAAGACUGCAAAAAUAAGGCCCUAAAUGAACAGGAAACACAGAUUUAAUAAAGGCAUUUGAGAUGAUGAAAGAAAAAUUAGUUUAUCAUUAAAGGAAACAAUACAGAUUUGAAAGUUAAACAAGUGACAGAAUAUGAGGUAGCAAGUCAUCUAUAGUGCUUAUAGAGCAACAAUCUCAAUUGAAGAAAAUUGUGAAAAUUAAACAACAAAAAAGUCUCUGUGAACAAUCUAGCAUGAAAGGGGGGAAAUAGCCUAUAUACAUAAAAGACUAAUUGUUGUGCCAACAGCAUCUCCAAGUAUACUUAUUGCCGAUGCACAUAAAUUUGAUCAAGGGUGAAGUAUUAGGAAAACUUAAACAGCAAGGAGAUUGGUAUCCUUAUUCGAAUGCAGUACUUAGUGAGUUUUGUCCAUGUGACAUCUAUGGUAAAUAUAAUGUGAGGAAAGGAACAGCGAGCAGUACCUGAAGUGACUUUUAAGCAUUUAGUAAUGAGGGUUUGAGGUUAUAUUAAAACGAGUACAAGGCAAGAAAUACAUGUUUGUACUACUUAACAGGUUGGGAUUAAAAUCUGGUUGUGAUGAUUAACUAUAUUUCUCAUGAAUAAAAACAUCCAUUCUUAGAUUUGGACUAUCAUCAGAAAUAAUUUCAAAUAAUGAUUGUGCAUUAAUAAAUUUAGAGUAAAUUAAGUAAAUUAAAAAUAGCUAAAUAAGUAAAUAAGUGAUUAAAUAAAUAAUCAAAUAAAUAAAUAAAACAGUUAAAGAAGUACUGUUAAUUAAGAAUGAAUCAAAGGCUAGAGUGAAGUUUAUCAAGAACAAUCACAACAACUGGUCAAAGGCACCAAGAAGAUUUAUUAAGGCCAUAACUUUUUUGAAAAACGUAAAAAUAGUAAACCUGAUUGAGUUUGGAUUGGUAAACUGGACUAAAGUGUAAACUGAUGCUUUAAUGAGUUUUUAUGUAAACUAACAGAAACAGGAACACUGCAUGGAACACUAAUUGCACAUAAGUAUUUUUGUCGAAUAAGAAAAACUAACUGCCAUGUAUGAAGUUAUUUAUUUACAGGAACAGAACAGGGACUGACAGAAGGAAACUGUUUUGGAAGAUGUUCCUGCUGUUGCUGCUGCUGAUGAUGCAAAUAAAGAUGAGUGAAAGCCUAGAGGAGUUCAUCGAAGCUGCCGGAGCUCAUAUCAGAUGUACACGGGGAAAAAGGGAAGAUGAUUACGGUCAAGGGACACCUUGGUAUCCAAUGGCAGGAGAUGCAGAAGAGCAGACUCUACUGGCGGUUUAAAAACCCACUGUCUGCUCCAACACCAGACAGUACUCAGAAGUACCUCUGGCGACGUGGGAUAAAACAUCAGAUAUGGCUCUUUUACAGGCGCCGAGAAUAUUCUACAACUAUAUGAUUUCUAUUAAACGAUGAUUAAUCAAGUAUAUAUGCAGUAUACGCACAACUGUGAGCAAGGCUGACAAGCAUAUGUUUUUAACCUGUCUAAUGAUUAUUGUGUGUUGAACUCCCCCAAAGAAAGUAUUCAGUUAGGGAGAGCGGGAUCUUUUACUCCCUCUAAAGUCAAAAGUAGAGGGAGAUGUUUGGUUCUGUUUCUCCUCUGAAGUGCGGAGGAAGGAUGCUGACAAUUGAUAAGGAUGUAGAUGGGCAACUUUUUGGUUGCACAAGUAUGUUAAGACUUUGCAAGUGUUGGAUUCUUAAGUUGCACUUCAGCGAGGGAUUUAGGAAAGGGACUUUUUUGAUUAAGUCCCUAAGGGGGGAUUUAUUUAGGAGAAUUAUAGAGGAACUUUUAUUAUGUAAUCACUAUAUAAUCACUGUAUAAUCUGCCACUAUUAAAAUACACUGUUAAAACAUAUAGAAAUACAUUCAAGUGAUGCAGAGCAAAACACACAGAAGUAAACAGCGGUGAAGUAAGACCAUUCAGACAGCAUAUGCAACAUGUAUUGAUGUAUUGACCAUGACAAAAACAACUUAAAAACAACUUUGCUCAACCUGCAUGGCAAUAGCAUGCAUAGGGAGAAUCAUUUAAAAAGUGUUGAAAUAUGACCUUUAAGAUGUGCAAAAACAGAAAAACAUACAGCCAUCAAUAUAAAGGCUAGAAUCCUAUUGGAGCCUGGAAAUAACGUGAUGCUCAUGCUACACCACUGUUUCAUGAUGACUAUAGGAAAAACGUGUAUAUAAACUGUGGGUUUUGGAACAUUUGUAGGAGAGAGAUCGAUCGACCAACUCUACUGUAACAAUAAACUGCUUCAACUUGA